AUUGGCAAUAACAUUUGUACAAUUUGUACAAACUAAUUUAAAAUCCGGCGCACAUACAACAAAAUACACUGGAAUAUUAAUCAGACUAAAUGAACAAAUACAAUUUUAUUUAGUUCACUUGUACAAACGUUUUAGUUUAAUCUCUUGAACUUUUUAUUGUUUAAAUGCAUUUUUGAUGCACAUUUAAGCAAUUAUUAAUGAGGAAAAUUAAGAGUUUCAACAAUGACAGUUUUGCGUGUGUUUUACGAUUAAAUGUGACAACUUACUGAUUGUGGUGCACAGAUUCCCGCGACAUUUACUGGAGCACAACCAUACAAGUUUGUGGUCGUUGUCCCCGUGGAAUUCACCGAGGAACAUCCGAAACCGGCGAUUAAUUAAUGGACGAAAGUCGGUACGAGACUGAGAGGGCGAACCCAUUGCUGCAUUUGGCCGCGUCGAAUGUUUCGCACACAAUUGCCGCAGAACCGUUUCACCGUUUUGUCGUGUUUUAUCAAUUGUUUAUGUGCACCAAUCGAACCAACAAUAAAUGUUUUUAUCGUUAAUCAA